ensembl:lncRNA
GUAAGUGCAGAUUUAGCAGCGCGGCUAACAGCAAAAAAAUAAAAAUAAAAACGCACACAGAGUUAGAAUCUGAGGACAUGACGAAGAGAAAUAAACUCAUAUUUAUUCCCAGGACAGAGUUACAGCUCGGAUUUAUUCUCCACACGUGAAUCUGUGGAUGAUUUUGAUGAUUCCUGGCGGUUGCUCUCAUCCGGACGGGUCGCGCGCGCAGGCAGGUAAUUAGGGCAGUUCGGCUCACAUACCGAUCCAACAACAAGCAGCAAAGUCUUGUUUGCGGUGAGUGACAGCAUCUCCCGGGGAACAAGGUACUUAAUUGGACAUCCUGGUAUUGAUUGGGUGAAGGAAAGGGAUCUUGAAAGUGAGAGCCAAUUACCCGUGCCUGCCAUUGUGUCCUAUUAACAUGCGGUCUAAAGAGCUGUUCAGUUUAGCGUUCUCAAAUUCCAAAGCUGUUCUUAAUGCACCCUCGUUAUCAUGUCUUCGCAUUACUUUAUUAACUGAAGAUGGUUAUAUUAGAGAACUGUAAACCUGCAGAACUUACCCAGAAUCAGGGCCAAGCAGGGUUAAGUCUCCCUGUCUUUCAACGAUAAAUAUAAUCAGUAUAAAGUUUUGUUUUUUGGCAUCCAUAUCAGAUAAUCUGUGGCCAACAAAUGUCUUAAAGUGGAUUAUUUUGGAUUUAACAGUUAAGACAGAUUCAGAUUCAGCAGUUAGUUUAAAUCAGUAUGCUUGGGCUGAUUUCUCUCUAGUCUAGACUCUAGAUUUAUGCAGGGGUAGUUGUGACUCUAAGUGAUACUUAGAGUCAUAGAUUUGAUUUCCGUUUGGACUGAUAUUUUUCCGACAUAUCCGUAACACUCCAUCAGCAGUGACUGUGAAAUUUUACUUUGGUUUGGGAAAAGUUUACUUUGUUGGAGGAGAAGCUGAAUGUAGACAAGACUAAGCACAUUUUGUCCAUUCAAAAUACAUAUGACGCAGUAGGACAGAUAACAAAACUCUUACGUUUAGUGUGUUUUUAAUUACAGGGUAAUAUUGUUUUUUGGUUUUUUUUGUACUUUCUGUUUAACAUUUGAGCGAAACUCGAAAUCGUGAACGCAGCUGCCGAUCUUCCUUUAAGUGUGUUUGCGUGAUCGUUGCCCCAUAUUAUUCUUAUUGUGCCAUCUGAUGUAACGUGUUGCACAACUGUAAGUUUAAUUGUCAAGCUAUUGAUAAACAUUAGAUUUUAGCUCCCCCCCCGCCCCAUAUAAUACCAUGACCAAGCCAUCAAUGCAAUCUGAUGCAUGCCAUUUUCAAAAUAGUGACAAAAACAGUUAUUUCAUCCUGCUAGCUAUAGCCAGUUAGUUCAUUCAGUUAGUUCAAAUGAAUGCUUGUGAAUUGUGAGUGGUCAUGUGGUCUAAACAUUAAUAUAACAUUUAAAAUUUGUUUAAAAUAACUAACACUGUAGGAUAAGAAUAGUAUAGGAUAGUAUAGGAAUAUCUGACAGUUUUGACCUUGUGGGUACGUGGCUGGUACGUGACUGGUCCCCAAGAGAAAAACAUAUUUUUUUUAAGGAAAACAAACAAAAAAAGAAAAAGAGAUGAAGGGACUCCUUUUGAUUACGGAGGAUAAAGCUAGGGUUUGAUUUAGGAGCUGGCAUUAAUUAAUAAUUAUGCCAGUGGAAGGUCCUCACAAGGAUUGUAAGGCAAACGUGUGUGUGUGUGUGUGGUGUGUAGAUUUAUGAGUGUAAUAUCGGAGGCUCAGUGGUUUCAUUGCGACACAAUGACGUUAUCUUUCUGUCAUCCUUUUGUGCUUUUGUGUUUCAUCUUCCUUAGUCCUGUGUGUUUUCUCACACAAACACUGAAUUUGAUUGGAUCUGCAGAAUGUAAUUCUCCGAACAUGACCACAGGGUUCUGUGUUCGUCGUGUAUCUGCUCCCAAUCUCCAUUAUCAUAUUUACUUAGACAUACUCGUCUCCUUCCCAUGUCUCUCACAUCUCUCUCUAGUCUCUCUCACUUAGUGAUCGUUCUGUGUUAAACAGCCCCAUACGGGCUGUGUAAUAAACACAGGCUUCAUUAUUAAGCAUCCUCACGCUCUCUGUGUCUCCGUCAGCUGUCCUCCCCACGUGUUAUUUAACGAAACUCAGAGCUUCUAAUCACGCACGCCUUCAAGUUCUUUCUCUCUGUUCUGCCCUCUCACCUUUUCUCUUAUUUACACAAAAGGAGAAGAAAGUAAUUUUCUUUGAUUGAAUGAUGGGAAAUCUCAGCCUGUCCCUGUCCCUGUAAUGGUGUGAAAAUUACAUCGUUAAGUGUUUCUAUGGUAAGAUCCUGAACAAAGGAGAAGAUGGAUGUGGCACCUGUUUGAGAUGCCUGAGAGAAAAAAAACAAUUAUACUCUGACCAUCAUUACCAUCUCCUGUGCUCGUGUGGUCUCGCAGGUAAGCAUCACAUAUUAUGUAGAUUUCAUACAGUGAACCUAAGCAGUGGACAUUACAAUGCAUUAAAUGCCAGAAUAAACAGAUUAAAAGUAUGAUGUAUGGUUCUUUAAUCAAUAGAAAUUGUUGGCAAAUUGCUGUGCUAGAAGGGAAAUUAAUCACUCUGGGUGUGCUGUUAUUGGAAAACAAUCACCUUCUGGGUGCUAACAGUGACACCGCUAUUUCACAGCACUCCGAGGUUGAUUGUUUUCAUUUAACAGCACCGUGCAAAUCCAUGAAAGUUCUUUGUGACUGCAGUUAUACUGUCUGCUCAUUAGCAUGCUUUUCUUUUCGUUUCCAGACAAAUAAUGGGCCAAAAUUCCAACACCCCCCCACCCCCCAUAUGAAACCCAUCUGUGGAGAUUUGAGCCUUUGUGGAGGUUUUUUCCCCCUUCUUCUUAAUUAAAGAAUCAGCAGAACUUAUUUGUUUGGACAGAAAUAUUAAACCCCAGAUGUCUGGCUGUGGGUAAAUGUUAUUAGGACAGGACACGCAAAAUAUUUUAGCACUGUUUUAUGAGAAUAUCCAAACACAGACGUACACACCAUCUUGUUUAUGAAUUUUUAUAACCUCAGAGCAUUUAUCUUCAGC